CGGGGUAGGAGUAACGCGUGAGGAACCUGCCUCAAAGAGGGGACGAACAGUUGGAAACGACUGCUAAUACCGCAUAAGCCCACGGCUCGGCAUCGAGCAGAGGGAAAAGGAGCAAUCCGCUUUGAGAUGGCCUCGCGUCCGAUUAGCUAGUUGGUGAGGUAACGGCCCACCAAGGCAACGAUCGGUAGCCGGACUGAGAGGUUGAACGGCCACAUUGGGACUGAGACACGGCCCAG
rnacentral:rRNA from 1 species